GAUAAUCAACUGGGGAGGAAACUGAAAUAACAAUCAUCCACGUGGAAAUUACUCAAUGGGGAAUGAGAAGGGUUAAAGUGUUUCUGCUUAAGGGGGCUGACGCUCUACAAUUGAAGGAGGACAGACACACCAAAUUUCCAUAGCUGGGGAUAAAUGACAAACUGUUAGGGAGGAAAAUAGUUACCAAACCAACUUCUUGGGGCAGACCAACAAUUCUUCACACUUCAAGACUU
rnacentral:lncRNA from 1 species